UACGUAGGGUGCGAGCGUUGUCCGGAAUUAUUGGGCGUAAAGAGCUUGUAGGCGGUUUGUCGCGUCUGCCGUGAAAAUUCGAGGCUCAACCUCGAACUUGCGGUGGGUACGGGCAGACUAGAGUGUGGUAGGGGGAGACUGGAAUUCCUGGUGUAGCGGUGGAAUGCGCAGAUAUCAGGAGGAACACCGAUGGCGAAGGCAGGUCUCUGGGCCAGUUACUGACACUGAGAAGCGAAAGCAUGGGGAGCGAACAGG
rnacentral:rRNA from 1 species